rnacentral:tRNA from 1 species
GUCUGAAUUGCUCAGUUGAUAGAGUAUCAGACUUUCAAUAUGAGAGUUUAGGGUUCACCUUCCUAUUGAGGUG